rnacentral:lncRNA from 1 species
UGGUAUUGGUGGAACCACAGAAAAAUAAAACAUCCGGUUACACAAUUGCAAUCGCCAUCAAUGUAAAUUGCAGGUAUCAGACACUGCAAUUGUAGUAUUCAUCAAAUGCAAUUGUAGUUCUGGGUAUACAAUAACUUAAGCUUUCUGUUCAUCUAACAAAUUACAUAAAUUAAUAGGCCACACAAAUUCACUGCAUGAUUAAUUUCACUUGCAUCUGUUGACCAUCUUUGAUUUUCAUGUCUUCACUGUAAUGUUGCUUUUGGAUGCAUGCCACCAUUUGUUGUUUCCUUUCUCUUCUUUCUUUUUGGCUUCACUGGGGAGCCUACAAAACAUUAUUAGUGAUGAGGUAUAGUUCAGUCUUGUAGUGCUUCACUGGGGAGCCUACAAAACAUCUAAAUUCUCCUAUUUUUUGGCUUCACUGGGGAGCCUACAAAACAUCUAAAUUCUCCUAUUUUUUGUCCUAAAUUGCUGUUGUUUUUUGUUGCUUUUUGAGAAAGUAGAUUGAAAAGAUUAGGAUACUAACCUUUGGUGAUGAGGUAUAGUUCUGUCUUGUAGUGCUUCUUCUUGAAAAUUUCCUCUUCUUUUGCAAUCUGAUUUCUUCCCCUUUCCCCUGCUCUGCGUGAGGAGAGCAGAGGCUUUCCCCACGCACAUCAGAUCUGUUUUCCUCUCCGUUGCUUCUCUCCCAAGUCUGUGUCCUAUAUAUGCUAUGGAUUGCUGGGUUUGGGCUUUUUAUUAUGGGCUGAACACUCAGAUCUGUUAAAUGGGUCUUUUUUCUUUUAUUAUGGGCUGUACAGAAAUUACAAUGGGUUUUCUCUACAUGGGCCUCUAUGGGUUGAUGUUGUUAAAUAGGUCUUUUUCCUUUUAUUGUGGGCUGUACAGAAAUUACAAUGGGUUUUCUCUACAUGGGCCUCUAUGGGUUGAUGCUGUUAAAUGAGUCUUUUUUUCUUUUAUUAUGGGCUGUACAGAAAUUAUAAUGGAUUUUCUCUGCAUGGGCCUCGUGGGCCUCUUUUAGAAUGUAGGCAACCAACAAUCAUGUGCUAACUUGUUAUAAAACACACAGAUUCUUGUUCUAUUGUAAAUCAUGUGUUUUACAUACAACCAACAACCAUGUGUUUUCUUAUCCUAAAACACAUGGUUUUUUGUCUGUUACAAUUUGUGUGUUUUGCAGCCAACAAACAACCAUGUGCUAGCUUUUGCUAAAACACAUGGUUGUUCAGUGGACAGACUCUUUAUUCUAGGAGAUGAAUCUGACGUGUGGUACAGAAAAAUCGUGUGUUGGAUUGCAAAAAAAGUUACAUAGGCGUUGUUUAGCAAUCCUGUUUAUUCUAUAGUUUUUAUUGUGACAAAAUUAUGAUGUGAUACUAUUUUACAUUAGCUUUGCAUAAUGAACCAUGCAAUUUUAUGAUUUUUUUUUCUUGCUGCCGUCGCAACGCAUGUGUACUCCCCUGGUACGGCUAGGAAGAAUGCAUGUUCACGAAACGCCCGUCGUACGUGCCAGUCCCGACCUCGUCGCU